GCGUAGGGUAUGUAGGUUGUGAAAAAAUGAGAAAGUAAAAUACUAGGUUAUCGCCUUUGAUUGUUUUCUUACUAUUUCAUUGAAUCUUAGAAAGAUGAUGGUACUUUUUGGUUAGUGUUAGAAUACGUAGAUAGAAAGGAACCGACAGUGGCAAAAGAAUUAUCUUUCCAAGCAUUGACGUAAGGUACAAAGGCAGGGGAGCAAAGAGGAUUAGAGACCCUCGUAGUCCGUGUGUCAACGCUGAGUUUUCAAUGUAGGAUUAUCUUGGUGUUUGAGUAACGCAUUAAAUUCUCCGCUGGGAAGUACGGCCGCAGGUUGAAACUCAAAAGAAUUGAGGUGACUUGUACAAGG
rnacentral:rRNA from 1 species